rnacentral:rRNA from 1 species
AUUGAACGCUGGCGGCAGGCCUAACACAUGCAAGUCGAGCGAGCGGCGGACGGGUGAGUAAUGUCUGGGAAACUGCCCGAUGGAGGGGGAUAACUACUGGAAACGGUAGCUAAUACCGCAUACCAUCAGAUGUGCCCAUAUGGGAUUAGCUAGUAGGUGGGGUAAUGGCUCACCUAGGCGACGAUCGCUAGCUGGUCUGAGAGGAUGACCAGCCACACUGGAACUGAGACACGGUCCAGACUCCUACGGGAGGCAGCAGUGGGGAAUAUUGCAUAAUGGGCGCAAGCCUGAUGCAGCCAUGCCGCGUGUAUGAAGAAGGCCUUAGGGUUGUAAAGUACUUUCAGCGGGGAGGCGUUACCCGCAGAAGAAGCACCGGCUAACUCCGUGCCAGCAGACGAGGUAAUAG